AACGAACGCUGGCGGCACGCCUAACACAUGCAAGUCGAGCGCACCCUUCGGGGCGAGCGGCGGACGGGUUAGUAACGCGUGGGAACAUGCCCUUCACUAAGGAAUAGCCUCUGGAAACGGAGAGUAAUACCUUAUACGCCCUUCGGGGGAAAGAUUUAUCGGUGAAGGAUUGGCCCGCGUUAGAUUAGAUAGUUGGUGGGUAACGGCCUACCAAGUCGACGAUCUAUAGCUGGUUUGAGAGGAUGAUCGGCAACACUGGGACUGAGACACGGCCCAGACUCCUACGGGAGGCAGCAGUGGGGAAUCUUAGACAAUGGGCGCAAGCCUGAUCUAGCGAUGCCGCGUGAGUGAUGAAGGCCUUAGGGUCGUAAAGCUCUUUCACCAGGGAUGAUAAUGACAGUACCUGGAAAAGAAACCCCGGCUAACUCCGUG
rnacentral:rRNA from 1 species